rnacentral:rRNA from 1 species
AUGGUACCUCAGCCACCGUACGUUGGGCAGAGAUUUGAAUCGUUUGCAGAAGCAAAGGAAUUCUACCAGACAUAUGCAAAGUUCCAUGGGUUUGCCGUCCACACCGAAUACCAUAAGUAGAUGAAAACUAACGAGUACAGCAGAGGUGAGAUGAGGUGCCACAAGGCACGAAGGAACAAUAAAGGGAAAGGUGUUGCGCCUGUCGUUCCGGAAAGAAAGAGAGGGAUAAUUCUCAAGACGGGUUGCCCUGUCCGGUGUAAGCUAAACGUAGAUGGAACACAGUAUGUGGUCACUAAAUAUUUUGACGAGCACAACCACAAACUCAUAAAGAAGUUCGAUCUGGUCAAAUUUCUGACCGCCCACAGAGGGUUCACCCCAGUCGAAAGGCAAUUCAUAAAGCUGCUACAUGAUUGUAACAUUGGUCCAUCAAGAAUGGUCCAGAUACUAUCACUUAUCCACAACAAAAAGGGGAAACUGAGUAGCAUGCCGUACAUACCAGCUGACGUCACAUACCUACAUGCCAAGUACCGUAGAGAGAGCAAGCUGGCUGACAUAGAGGCCACAAUGGCCUACUUCGAUGAGAAAGCGAAGGAAGAUCCAGAUUUCUUCUACAGGAUAAGGUUGGACGAUGAGGACCGUGUCAGGAACAUGUAUUGGAUGGAUGGUGCUGCAAGGAGAGCCUACAAACAUUUCCGAGAUUGCAUUUCAUUCGACGCGACAUAUCUGACUAAUAUGUACAAGAUGACAUGCGCCCCGUUCAUAGGAAUAAAUAACCACAAUCAGUCAUUACAGUUCGGCUGCAGGGUCGUUCGGAACGAAGACACGGAUGGGUAUGUUUGGCUGUUCAAGACCUUCUUGGAGUGCAUGGAUGGACUUGCUCCGAUGAACAUAAUAACAGACCAGGAUUUCAGCAUGCGUGCAGGCAUAGAGGAGGUAAUUCCGUUGGCAUUGCACAGGCACUGCAGGUGGCACAUUAUAAAGAAGGCUGAAGAGACGCUAGGACCGUUAUUUGCUGAUCGUCCAGAGCUCCACAAGGCAUUCGAGCUGUGCGUGGACCAUAACUUGACGGCGGAGGAGUUUGAAAGGAGCUGGAUGGCCAUGAUUGAAACAUAUCAAGUCCAAGACAACGAGGCGCUUGCUAACCUAUGGGAGAAGCGAAUGUACUGGGUGCCGACCUACUUCAUGCAGUGCUUAUUCCCCUUUCUGCAGACUACACAGCACAGCGAGGGGUUCAAUGCUGUUUUGAAGCGGUAGGUGAGCCCUGGCAACUCAUUGCUACAGUUUGCCAAGCAGUACACAACUUUGCAACAAAAUAUUAUGGGAUCUGAGCUACAGCAAGAAGCUACCACCGCGCUAAAGCAGCCGAAAUUGCUAACGUAUUUACCGAUGGAGAGGCAAAUGAGCAAGAUAUACACAAACAAGAUCUUUAUCAAAUUCCAGGAAGAAAUAAAGCGUGACAGCAUGUUCACGGCUUUCCAGGUGGACUAACAUAAGUUCAAGGUGUGUUCUAUUGUAUGUCGGAUUCAGAACCUGAAGACCUGGACAAAGGAAGGAACUACUUCGUUCGAUCGACAAGGCGAAUACUACUGCCAAUGCUGCAAGUUUGAACGGGACAACAUUGUGUGCUGUCACAUACUAAAAGUAAUGGACAUGAACGUUGUGACAUGGAUGCCCCGCCAUUUCAUAAGGCGGUGAUGGACUUGGGACGCUGACGACACGUUUGCGCCGCAGACAACAAACGCAGUUCCGGCUGUGCAUGACGAGAGACCUGAGGCAACCAUGGAAGCCGUGAGGCACGUUGUUCUCACAAAGAACUAUGCUGAGCUAAUUGAUGAAGCUUGAAAGAGUGAUGAGACAGCGAGAGUCGCAGAAAAACACAGGAAGGCCCUGAAAAGAGAUCUUGAUGAGAUCAAGAAGAGGAAAGCUGAGGAAGCCUUACACCGGUUCCCCCGCACAUCAAGUGUGCCUUCAUCCACGGGGCCAUCACCUGAAAACUCUGAGAUAGGAUCUGGAACAGCAAUCACACAAACCCAGGUCAGGAACCCACCCCGUUCCAUCACAAAGGGUCGUCCAAGAGAGAUAAGGUACAAAUCGGGAUUGGCGAUUCAAGCAAAACACAAGAAAACGAAGAAAGGGACGAGCAAUCCAUAA